rnacentral:lncRNA from 1 species
UGAUACGAUCCAAGGUGAUCUACUCUGAAGCAAAGAACAAUAGAUGCGGCGAUAUGGUGGAUAGACUGAAACGAUGAAGCGAAAAGGAUGGUGGUAGUGAUACGAGGAUGGCUCGCGACGAUGAGGGAUGAUGGUGGAGACUCGGCAGAUCGAAUCGUGGAUGUGCGAUGGUGGUGUGGCGGAUCGAUGGAGAUGAUGGUGGCUCGGCGGAUCGAUGGUGAUGAUGGUGGCUCGGCGGAUCGAUGGUGAUGAUGGUGGCUCGGCGGAUCGAUGGUGAUGAUGGUG